GUGAGACAGGUGCUGCAUGGCUGUCGUCAGCUCGUGUUGUGAAAUGUUGGGUUAAGUCCCGCAACGAGCGCAACCCUUAUCCUUUGUUGCCAGCGGUCCGGCCGGGAACUCAAAGGAGACUGCCAGUGAUAAACUGGAGGAAGGUGGGGAUGACGUCAAGUCAUCAUGGCCCUUACGACCAGGGCUACACACGUGCUACAAUGGCGCAUACAAAGAGAAGCGACCUCGCGAGAGCAAGCGGACCUCAUAAAGUGCGUCGUAGUCCGGAUUGGAGUCUGCAACUCGACUCCAUGAAGUCGGAAUCGCUAGUAAUCGUGGAUCAGAAUGCCACGGUGAAUACGUUCCCGGGCCUUGUACACACCGCCCGUCACACCAUGGGAGUGGGUUGCAAAAGAAGUAGGUAGCUUAACCUUCGGGAGGGCGCUUACCACUUUGUGAUUCAUGACUGGGGUGAAGUCGUAACAAGGUAACCGUAGGGGAACCUGCGGUUGGAUCAC
rnacentral:rRNA from 1 species